GUGCGGGUCGUAUAACGGCGAGUACACCAGCCUUCCAAGCUGGGAGCGGGGGUUCGAUUCCCCUUCCGCACUCCA
rnacentral:tRNA from 1 species